rnacentral:rRNA from 1 species
AUUGAACGCUGGCGGCAGGCCUAACACAUGCCAGUCGAGCGGAUGAAGGGAGCUUGCUCCUGGAUUCAGCGGCGGGCGGGUGAGUAAUGCCUAGGAAUCUGCCUGGUAGUGGGGGAUAACGUCCGGAAACGGGCGCUAAUACCGCAUACGUCCUGAGGGAGAAAGUGGGGGAUCUUCGGACCUCACGCUAUCAGAUGAGCCUAGGUCGGAUUAGCUAGUUGGUGGGGUAAAGGCCUACCAAGGCGACGAUCCGUAACUGGUCUGAGAGGAUGAUCAGUCACACUGGAACUGAGACACGGUCCAGACUCCUACGGGAGGCAGCAGUGGGGAAUAUUGGACGAUGGGCGAAAGCCUGAUCCAGCCAUGCCGCGUGUGUGAAGAAGGUCUUCGGAUUGUAAAGCACUUUAAGUUGGGAGGAAGGGCAGUAAGUUAAUACCUUGCUGUUUUGACGUUACCAACAGAAUAAGCACCGGCUAACUUCGUG